rnacentral:rRNA from 1 species
UACGUAGGUGGCGAGCGUUAUCCGGAUUUAUUGGGUUUAAAGGGAGCGUAGGUGGAUUGUUAAGUCAGUUGUGAAAGUUUGCGGCUCAACCGUAAAAUUGCAGUUGAAACUGGCAGUCUUGAGUACAGUAGAGGUGGGCGGAAUUCGUGGUGUAGCGGUGAAAUGCUUAGAUAUCACGAAGAACUCCGAUUGCGAAGGCAGCUCACUGGACUGCAACUGACACUGAGGCUCGAAAGUGUGGGUAUCAAACAGG